CCCCCGGGCGUCGAUGAAUGUGGGGUACCAUUCCUUGAUGAUGUGGUCAUGUUUGUAGUCGGCCUUAUUGUCCUUUAGAUGUUCCACGGUGUUCCGCUCGCUCUUCUCAUAGGCCUCCCGGGGCUUCCGGACAGACACCUUGCAUUCUCGGACCUUGUUGACGAUGAAUUCUUGGAUGAGAAACCUGAUAUCUUCCAUGAGUCAUCAUAAAGAAGUCUGAAUAUCUUGGUUGAGAGCUAGACUUUGGAAACAGAGAGACCCUGUAUAAUAACAGACUAAGAAGUAAGGAAGACAAGCCCAGCCAGUCCCACAACUAUUUCAUUAAUACCAGGUAAAGCAACAGACCUGCCAGUGAAGCAUCUUGGAUCCUUUAGCUUUAGAAAAUCAGCUCUGUUACAUCUGCCGCCUCCUGUGAGCACAAGGCACAGAAAGUAGACCCUGUAACCCUCAGAGGGCCUGAAGGAAAGCGAUGCUGGUGUGACCUGCCCAAGAGGAUGGUGCCCAAGGCAGAGCAUUCUAGACCCUCAUAGGCAACAGAGCCAGGAAUGGAAGUGAGGAUACAGAGAAUGCACAAACGGGAACCAUGUGAGGACAGUGAGAAGGUGGCCAUCUACAAGACGAGAUGAGAGGCCUCAGAAGAAAGAAACCAAAUCUACAGACACCUUGAUCUUCAACUUCUGGCAUCCAAAACUGCUGGGAAUUCUAGAUCAAGGUAUGAAGACAGCCAGUUCCUAGAUUCAGAGCCAUGAGGAAGAAUCCAUUCUGUGACUUUUCCCUAGCUUCUGAUGUUUGUCUGGCAAUCUUUGGCAUUCUUUGGCUCGUAGACCUCUGUUUUCAUCUUCUCAAGAAAAUUUCCCUGUAUGUUUGUCUAGGUCUAAUUUUUCCUUUUUAUAGAACACCAGUAAGAUUGGACUGGAGCUCACGCUAAUGACCUCACUUUAACUUCAUUAUCUCUAUAAAGACCCUAUCUCCAAAUAAAGAUACAUUCU
ensembl:lncRNA novel transcript